UUUAUAUUGGUACCAAAAUCUU
rnacentral:snRNA from 1 species